UCUUUACGCAAUUGCCGCCCCAACUCUGUUCCACUGAGCAGAGCAAGAGAGAAAGGUUGCGAUUUCAGCUUUCUCCGGUCUCUCCGCUUUUCACCGAUGAGCAGAGCAGGAGAGUAGAGGGCUGAACCGAGCAGAAACAGAUCUCUUCCCUUCUUGCAGAAGAAGGAAGAGACAACCCCUCUUCUUGUUCGCGUAAGAGGAAGGACGAGAGCAGAGAGUGCGACCUCCCUCCUCCGGUCGAUCUCGCAGGUCUGCAGCAGUCGCCCCUUUACCCGAAGCUCGCCGCCGCCGACGUCCAGCGGUGAAGAGCGCCGACCGCUGGAAGUAGCAGCCACCGAUCGCCAACAGCUUUCAGAUCUGCUGGCCGCGAGCCUUCACCCUCCUCUGUUUCUCGAGAGGAAAGAGGAGCAGUGCCGCCGCCUCUUCCUUCCUCUUCCUCCUUCGCCGAUCUCUUAUCCUUCUCUACUCCACUCCUUUUCCGAUCUUGCUGGCCAAUCGCGCCUGUGCUCCAGCCGUCACAGAAGCGUGCGGAGAAGAUGCCCCCUGCGGUGCCUCCACUUAGAAGAGGAAGAAGGAGACCCCUCCUCUGUUCGCGCAAGAUGAACAGAGCAGAUCUCCCUCCUUCGAUCUCGCGCAAGAGGAACAGAAUUCUCCUUCCCGUUCUUGUUUCAAUUUCAAGAUCCGAUCUGCCCCAAUCUCUUGUUUCAGCAAUAGGAGAGCAGAUCUGUUCUACAAGAAGAAGAAAAAAAGAGCGAUCCUCUCUCCGGUCGCCUUGUGCUCCAGCCCGACCACGACAAACCUCUAUUCACGUAAGAGGAAGAAGAAAAACAGAGGAUACGAUCUCCGAUCAACCUAUGCCACUUUCCUCGUCGUCGCUUUAGUUUAAACUUCGACAUCAAUUGAUUUUCAUCAUAAAAAAAAAAAAAAUUAUUGAA